GUCCACACCGUAAACGUUGGGCGCUAGGUGUGGGACUCAUUCCACGAGUUCCGUGCCGCAGCUAACGCAUUAAGCGCCCCGCCUGGGGAGUACGGCCGCAAGGCUAAAACUCAAAGGAAUUGACGGGGCCCGCACAAGCGGCGGAGCAUGCGGAUUAAUUCGAUGCAACGCGAAGAACCUUACCUGGGUUUGACAUAUGCCGGAAAGCCGUGGAGACACGGCCCCUUUUAGUCGGUAUACAGGUGGUGCAUGGCUGUCGU
rnacentral:rRNA from 1 species